rnacentral:lncRNA from 1 species
AACGCAGAGGUGGGAGACAGAGUGGGUGGGGAGGGGAGCCGCCAUACAGUGGCCAAGACCAGCUUUGCCCAAGUGGUGGCAACCGCAUGACCACAGGAACGAUGGCGUGAGCCCCAUGGCAACCUGGAGGAAGGGCCAAGCCACUGGUGAAUAUGCUGCAAAAAAUAUGCUGGAACUUCUGUGAAUACCACAGGGUGUGAGAAGAAAACAUUAGAACUUCUAUUUUGUACCUGUGUUACUUCACAACAAGAAAGAAAUCAGCUUGAUCAAUGCCUACUGUAAAGACGGCACCGCCCUCCGGAGGCCCUCUCUCAGCCCUGGUGCUGGGACAGCCGCAUCCCCUCGCGGCAGGGGGAGGCCUGAAGCAUAGAGGGGCCCACACAGGUCUAUUCUGUUUCAGUGAAUUGCCUGGGAAAUAAUCCAGGAUCCAUUUUGUGUGGUCAUCUUGUCUCCCUGGUCCCCUCCAGCCUUUCCUCAUCUUUUGUGACCUGGUCACUCUGGAAGGGCGCUGGCCUGUUAGUCCACAGGAUGGGCCUCCCCUGGGGCUUUUCUGAUGCUUCCUUAUGAUGGCACUGGCAUCCUGA